rnacentral:lncRNA from 1 species
GAGGAUGUGGGGGACUUUUGGGAUAGCACUGGAGAUGUGAAUGAAGAAAGUACCUAAUUAAAAAAAAAAAAAAGAAAAACAUGAAAAAGUAUUUAUUUUUGUUUUUUUAAUCACUUUAUUGCAACUUGAGUACCUUGAAAUAAAACUAAACACUGGUGAAAACUGUUUUUCUUAUUAAUUUUAAGUUUCUAAAAAGCUGUACAAGUUCUGCUAGCAGAUGACCACUUAAAUAAAGUACCUGACAUGGUAGAUUUCGUAUAAUGAAAAUACCUAGAAUAAUGCAGUAUACUGAACUGAUAAAAACAGACUUUGGGGGGAAAAGGCUGUAAGAUUAUUACUAAUACCAUUGUAGCCGUUUACAGAAUGUAGGAAAUGGUUUAAUAGAGUUCUAGCUAUGUAGGAACAGCAGAAGCCCUUCCUUUCUUAGGGGGAGAAAUAAAUUAUUAGCUGUUUUAGUAACUGUACAUUUUGUGUCCUUUUAAACAGUUUUUAAUAAACACAAGGCACUGUAGUACAUGUGCUGUAGACCCAGGCUGUGUCUGGAAACACCUAAGGUGCACCACUAGGCCCUGCCUCUACCCUUCAGCACUCUGAGUGCUGUGGCCUGCCUGGAGCUGAGACCCCAGCACUUUCCACAGUGCCGCCUUGGGAAGUGAGGCUUUAUUUAUUACUUUCACAUGUACAGCUCAUGGUGAGGGUGUAUGGGAGUUGGUUUUCCCUUCUGCCUUGAUGUAGGUUUCAGAGAUUGAACUCAGGCCAGCAGACUUAGGUAGUAAGUGCUUUAUGUAGUCAGCUGUCUCACCAGCCAGAACUUCAUAAUUUGUAAUACUUAUUAUUUGAACCUUUGUGUUUAUUCUUACCCCUUUUCACAGCCUGGAAUAUGAUGAGAAUACGUCUAUCAUCUUUAGACCAAACUCGAAGGUAAUUAUCACUGUGACCUUUUCCCCUUGUUUCUGCUGUUCUUGCUUCUGUACAGCUGUUGAUCUAAGUAAGCUAGUGAACAGAGCAGGACCCAGUGUUCCAGGAUGUUAUCUCUCGUACAGAUGUGUCUUGCAAUUAUAAGGAGCUUUAAAAUCCCAUUAUUCUCUUGAACUGUUUUAUGGUGAGUAUGAAAUAAAGUAUGGUUUUAAAACGGUAAAGUACUGGGGCUGUCGAGAUGUCUCAGUGGUUAAGAGCACUUGCUCUCACAGAAGACCUGUGUUUGGUUCUCAGCACCCACAUGGUGGCUCACAACCAUCUGUAACUCUGGUUCCAAAGAUCUGAUGCCCUCCUCUGACCUCCGCUGACAUAAAGCAUGCAUAUAGUGCACAUACAUAAACGCAUUUAGGGCUUCUCUUUUAUUUGAGUAGAUAAGUUUAUAGCAUUCAGGCCAGUAACUUAUUACUAGAUAUUUCUAUGACCUGUUAAAGUUUUUUUUGUUGUUGUUGUAAGUACCUGCAUGUGGGUAUGUGUAUAUGUGUGUCCUCAGAUGUUCCUGGAGCUAAACUCACAGGCAGUUAAGAGCUAUCUCAUGUGGGUACUGGGAAUUGAACUCGGGUCCUCUACAAGAAUAGUCCUUGCUCUUCUAAACCAUCUCUCUAGACCCUUUAUUAAUUUUAUUAUUAUUUUUUAGUUAUGUGAGAACACUGUAGCUGUCUUCAGACACACCAGAAGAGGGCAUCAGAUCCUAUUACAGAUGGUUGUCAGGCACCAUGUGGUUGCUGGGAAUUGAACUCAAGAACCUCUGGAAAAGCAGUCAGUGUUUCUAACUGCUGAGCUGUCUCUCCAGUCUUUAUUAAAAUUUUCUAAAGAUAAACUUUCAUAUUUUUCCACAUCAGCAAUUGCUUUAUUUCUUUAUGUACCAAAUGCCAUUUUAGUUAGUGUCAUGUAAUGGAAGAUCUGAAAUACAGAAGUAAUGUGAAUCCACUUAGCUUGAGAAUUAACUCUGGGUUAUAUGUAUUUAACCCUUUGCAUCCUGUUUAUGCAUUGAUGUAAAUUUAUGUUCCUUCCAAUAGGGUUCCUUUUUGCUUGUGUAUAUGUGUGUGUGUGUGUGUGUGUGUGUGUGUGUGUGUGUAUACACACACAUACAUUUUUUUUUAAGGAUUUAUUCUUAUUUGGGGGGUUGGAAAGAUGGGUGAGUAACCGGUUAAGAGUGUAUACUGGUCUUGUAGAGGACCUGAGUUCGGUUCCCAGCACCCAUGUCAGGGCGCUCACAGCCCACCGUAACUCCAGCUGCACAGGGAUCCAUCCAUUGCCUCUGAUCUGCACGACCACUGUACUCAUGUGUGCAUGCAUAAGUACAUACACUAAAGUAAAAUAAAAUCUCUUUAAAAUUAAAAAUUGUUAUUAUUAUUGUUAUGUGUGUGUGUGUGUGUGUCUGUGUGUGUCUUUGCUGUGUGUGUUAUCUGUGUGCAUGCAUGCCAUCCAUGAAUGUGUAGAUAGCCAUGUAGGUCUGAGGAGACUGGACUCCCUGGAGCUGAAGUUACAGGUGGUGCAUCAGUCUGUGGAUCAGUCUGGGAUCCAAUCUUACAGAAGAACAGCAAAUGCUGCUAACACUGAGACAUUUCUUCAGCCCAAUUUUUAUUUUUUAAGACAGAGUCUCAGGUAGCCCAGGAUGAGCCCAGGAUUACUGAGUAGCCAAGGCUGGCCUUUCAAUUCCUGAACCUUUUCUAGUCUCCAUGUGCAACAUACCCGGCUUUGCAGUGGGAUGUCUGCUCAGACUUCAUAAUUAAUCCUGAACUUUGAGCUUUUCUCCAGUUUCCCUGCAGAGUCCAUUGCAGAGAUUUCUGAUUGCUUCCAUCCCAUAGUGCUUCCAGAAGGGGCUUCAGUCACCCGUACUACUUCAUCUUAGCCCAAGAAGUCAAGGGCUUUGGUUUCUAGGGAAGAUUUCUUUUAAUUAAAAAACAAAAAACAACUUUUAUU